GACGAACGCUGGCGGCGUGCUUAACACAUGCAAGUCGAACGGAAAGGCCCUGCUUUUGUGGGGUGCUCGAGUGGCGAACGGGUGAGUAACACGUGAGUAACCUGCCCUUGACUUUGGGAUAACUUCAGGAAACUGGGGCUAAUACCGGAUAGGAGCUCCUGCUGCAUGGUGGGGGUUGGAAAGUUUCGGCGGUUGGGGAUGGACUCGCGGCUUAUCAGCUUGUUGGUGAGGUAGUGGCUUACCAAGGCUUUGACGGGUAGCCGGCCUGAGAGGGUGACCGGCCACAUUGGGACUGAGAUACGGCCCAGACUGCUACGGGAGGCAGCAGUGGGGAAUAUUGCACAAUGGGCGGAAGCCUGAUGCAGCAACGCCGCGUGCGGGAUGACGGCCUUCGGGUUGUAAACCGCUUUCGCCUGUGACGAGGCGUGAGUGACGGUAAUGGGUAAAGAAGCACCGGCUAACUACGUG
rnacentral:rRNA from 1 species